GGUGAAAAGCACCCCGGAAGGGGAGUGAAAUAGAACCUGAAACCGUGUGCUUACAAGUAGUCAGAGCCCGUUAAUGGGUGAUGGCGUGCCUUUUGUAGAAUGAACCGGCGAGUUACGAUUUGAUGCAAGGUUAAGCAGUAAAUGUGGAGCCGUAGCGAAAGCGAGUCUGAAUAGGGCGUUUAGUAUUUGGUCGUAGACCCGAAACCAGGUGAUCUACCCUUGGUCAGGUUGAAGUUCAGGUAACACUGAAUGGAGGACCGAACCGACUUACGUUGAAAAGUGAGCGGAUGAACUGAGGGUAGCGGAGAAAUUCCAAUCGAACCUGGAGAUAGCUGGUUCUCUCCGAAAUAGCUUUAGGGCUAGCCUCAAGUGAUGAUUAUUGGAGGUAGAGCACUGUUUGGACGAGGGGCCCCUCUCGGGUUACCGAAUUCAGACAAACUCCGAAUGCCAAUUAAUUUAACUUGGGAGUCAGAACAUGGGUGAUAAGGUCCGUGUUCGAAAGGGAAACAGCCCAGACCACCAGCUAAGGUCCCAAAAUAUAUGUUAAGUGGAAAAGGAUGUGGCGUUGCCCAGACAACUAGGAUGUUGGCUUAGAAGCAGCCAUCAUUUAAAGAGUGCGUAAUAGCUCACUAGUCGAGUGACACUGCGCCGAAAAUGUACCGGGGCUAAACAUAUUACCGAAGCUGUGGAUUGUCCUUUGGACAAUGGUAGGAGAGCGUUCUAAGGGCGUUGAAGCAUGAUCGUAAGGACAUGUGGAGCGCUUAGAAGUGAGAAUGCCGGU
rnacentral:rRNA from 1 species